GCCGGCGUAGCUCAGUGGUAGAGCGGAGUCUUCAUAAGGCUAUGGUCAGAGGUCCGAUCCCUCUCGCCGGCA
rnacentral:tRNA from 1 species